ACUUCGGUCAAAUGACUUUUGAACUUAGUGGCGGACGGGUGAGUAACGCGUGAGCAACCUGCCUUUCAGAGGGGGAUAACAUUUGGAAACAGAUGCUAAUACCGCAUAAGAUUACAGUACCGCAUGAUACAGUGAUCAAAGGAGCAAUCCGCUGAAAGAUGGGCUCGCGUCCGAUUAGAUAGUUGGUGAGGUAACGGCUCACCAAGGUCGACGAUCGGUAGCCGGACUGAGAGGUUGAACGGCCACAUUGGGACUGAGACACGGACCAGACUCCUACGGGAGGCAGCAGUGGGGAAUAUUGCACAAUGGGCGAAAGCCUGAUGCAGCCACGCCGCGUGAGGGAAGACGGUUCUCGGAUUGUAAACCUCUGUUUGCGGUGACGAACAUAUGACGGUAACCGAGUAAGAAGCCACGGCUAACUACGUGCCAGCAGCCGCGGUAAUACGUAGGUGGCAAGCGUUAUCCGGAAUUACUGGGUGUAAAGGGAGCGUCAGGCGGGAUAGCAAGUCAGACGUGUGAAUACCUAUGGGCUCAACCCAUAAACUCCAGUUGUAACUGUUAUUCUUGAGUGGAGUAGAGGCAAGCGGAAUUCCGAGUGUAGCGGUGAAAUGCGUAGAUAUCACGGAGGAACACCGAGUGGCGAAGGCGGC
rnacentral:rRNA from 1 species